rnacentral:misc_RNA from 1 species
CGCACAUUGCGCCCAUUAGUAUUCUAGUGGGCAUGCCUGUUCGAGCGUCAUUUCAACCCCUUAAGCCUUAGUUGCUUAGUGUUGGGAGCUUACAGCGCUGUAGCUCCUCAAAGUUAGUGGCAGAGUCGGUUUACAUUCUAGACGUAGUAAUUCUUUUAUUUCGCCUACAAGUCGUACCGGUCCCUUGCCGUAAAAAAAAACACCAUAAUUAUAAAUGUUGACCUCGGAUCAGGUAGGAAUACCCGCUGAACUUAA